rnacentral:rRNA from 1 species
AUACGUAGGUGGCAAGCGUUAUCCGGAUUUACUGGGUGUAAAGGGCGCGUAGGCGGGAAUGCAAGUCAGAUGUGAAAUCUCCGGGCUUAACCCGGAAACUGCAUUUGAAACUGUAUUUCUUGAGUGUCGGAGAGGUAGAUGGAAUUCCUAGUGUAGCGGUGAAAUGCGUAGAUAUUAGGAGGAACACCAGUGGCGAAGGCGAUCUACUGGACGAUAACUGACGCUGAGGCGCGAAAGCGUGGGGAGCAAACAGGAUUAGAUACCCUGGUAGUCCACGCUGUAAACGAUGAAUACUAGGUGUGGGGGGACUGACCCCCUCCGUGCCGCAGUUAACACAAUAAGUAUUCCACCUGGGGAGUACGACCGCAAGGUUGAA